rnacentral:rRNA from 1 species
GAGUUUGAUCCUGGCUCAGGGUGAACGCUGGCGGUGUGCCUAAGACAUGCAAGUCGAACGGUGUGCGUAGGUAGCACUAAGAUCAUAAAUUUAUUGUGAUUUUGGUGCUAUCUACUUACGCAGUGGCAAACGGGUGAGUAUAAAAUAGGAACGUACUUCGAAGCGGGGCAUAGCCCCUCGAAAGAGGGGGUAAUUUCCCAUACGCCUACGGGUGAAAGACGCAAGUCACUACGAAAACGGCCUAUUUACUACCAGCUAGUUGGUAAGGUAACGGCUUACCAAGGCGAUGACGGUUACCGGCUCUUAGCGGAGAGUCCGGCACAAUGGGACUGAGACACGGCCCAUACACCUACGGGUGGCAGCAGUUAGGAAUUUUGCGCAAUGGACGAAAGUCUGACGCAGCGACACCGCGUGGAGGAUGAAGACCCUAGGGUUGUAAACUCCUUUUUAGCGGCCAUGAAGGCCACUAGAAUAAGUAGCUACUAACUACGUGCCAGCAGUCGCGGUAAUACGUAGGCUACGAGCGUUACUCGGAUUUAUUGGGCGUAAAGGGUCUGUAGACGGUUUUUUAAGUCUUGUUUCAAAGACCUCGACUUAAUCGAGGAAAGGGGCAAGAUACUAAAAGACUAGAGUGGUAUCGGGGUUACUGGAAUUUUUAGUGUAGGGGUUAAAUCCGUGGAUACUAAAAAGAACACCAAGCGCGAAGGCGGGUAACUAGGUACAUACUGACGUUCAGAGACGAAAGCUAGGGUAGCAAAUCAGAUUAGAGACCUGAGUAGUCCUAGCCGUAAACAUUGUCCGUUAGUUCUUCCUUAAUUUAUAGGGGGGGGGAUGUUAGCAAACGCGUUAAACGGAUCGCCUGGGGAGUAUAGCCGCAAGGCCGAAACUCAAACGAAUUGGCGGGGAGGCGCACA